GUGUCAGCAGCCGCGGUAAUACAGAGGGUGCGAGCGUUGUCCGGAAUCACUGGGCGUAAAGGGCGCGUAGGUGGCGCUCCAAGUCUGUGGUGAAAGCUCGACGCUCAACGUCGAGUCGGCCAUAGAGACUGGAGGGCUCGAGCACUGUAGGGGCAGAUGGAAUUCCGGGUGUAGCGGUGGAAUGCGUAGAGAUCCGGAAGAACACCGGUGGCGAAGGCGGUCUGCUGGGCAGUUGCUGACACUGAGGCGCGACAGCGUGGGGAGCAAACAGGAUUAGAAACCCUGGUAGUCC
rnacentral:rRNA from 1 species